AUGAACGCUGGCGGCGUGCCUAAUACAUGCCAGUCGAGCGAACAGACGAGGAGCUUGCUCCUCUGACGUUAGCGGCGGACGGGUGAGUAACACGUGGAUAACCUACCUAUAAGACUGGGAUAACUUCGGGAAACCGGAGCUAAUACCGGAUAAUAUAAUGAACCGCAUGGUUCAAUAGUGAAAGACGGUUUUGCUGUCACUUAUAGAUGGAUCCGCGCCGCAUUAGCUAGUUGGUAAGGUAACGGCUUACCAAGGCAACGAUGCGUAGCCGACCUGAGAGGGUGAUCGGCCACACUGGAACUGAGACACGGUCCAGACUCCUACGGGAGGCAGCAGUAGGGAAUCUUCCGCAAUGGGCGAAAGCCUGACGGAGCAACGCCGCGUGAGUGAUGAAGGUCUUCGGAUCGUAAAACUCUGUUAUUAGGGAAGAACAAAUGUGUAAGUAACUAUGCACGUCUUGACGGUACCUAAUCAGAAAGCCACGGCUAACUACGUG
rnacentral:rRNA from 1 species